rnacentral:tRNA from 1 species
GGCGCUGUAGCUCAGUUGGCUAGAGCAUUCGGUUCAUACCCGAAGUGUCACCGGUUCGAAUCCAGUCAGCGCUACCA